rnacentral:misc_RNA from 1 species
GCUCCUACCGAUUGAAUGGUCCGGUGAAAUCUUCGGAUUGUUAACUUGCAUUACUUUUUCCUUUUGAUUCGUCAUUGGGAAGGAGUAACGUUGAUGAAAAGUUGCUUAAACCUUACCAUUUAGAGGAAGGAGAAGUCGUAACAAGGUUUCCGUAGGUGAACCUGCAGAAGGAUCAAGAUCG